rfam:Micromonospora echinospora strain DSM 43816 genome assembly, chromosome: I
CUUCACCGAACCCAGCCAGAGCGGCCGGUCGGCGGGGCGGUCCGGUCCGUACGCGGCCAUCAGCGCCUGCGCCUC